GCCUUUUUGUGCUUCUUCGUUAUACUUGUUGUUUUUAUAGUAAUUAUGAUAAUAACACAAUGUUGACUGCUGUACACCUAUUUUUGACAUUUUUACCUAUUGUGUCUGUUUGUUUUGUUCACGCAUCAGUGACAAUAUAAUGGAAUUUGAUGCGGCUGUCAUAUAAGUGAGAGGUUUAGCUAGCUAUAAAACCAGGUUCAAGCCACCAUUUUCUACAUAAGAAAAUGUCUGUACCAAGUCAGGAAUAUGACAGUUGUUAUCCAUUCGUUUGAUGUGUUUGAACUUUUGAUUUUGCCAUUUGAUUGAGGACCUUCCUUUUUGAAUUUUCCUUGGAGUUCAGUAUUUUUGUGAUUUUACUUUAUACAUAUAAAUAGAAACAUAAAAUCAUAGCGUCAAUAUACGUAAAAAAGAAACAAGGCUACGGAUGCGUAAAAUAUUCUUGUGUACAAUUCGGAGUAAAGUAUGGCGUUCAUUAUUAUUGAACUAGUAUAUAUAUUUGUGUAGGGGCCAGCUGAAGGACGCCCUCGGGUGCGAGAAGGAGUAUGGCCACGAAGUGCCGAUAUUGGCCCUGUGAGGUGACAAAAAAUAAAAGUCAAUAAGGUGGAUCCUUUAUAGCUAAAAAAUAUCUAUGUAUAUUGUUAUUUUUUAUUAUGGUAUUAAAUCAUAUUUUUCUGACGUCAUUAAUGUGACGUAAUACCCGGAAUCGAACCGGAACGCUGAAAAUGUCCAAAUUUUUAAUGAAAUUCACACUUCCUGGUUGAAAUUCGCAUUGGCCACAGGCCUCGACCAAAGUAAUUUUUCUCUCAUUUUGAUUGUUUGACAUUUUGACUCAGUUUGCAACAAUGUUUAGCGUGGUCGAGGCCUGUGGCCACAUCGAAAAUCUUACUUUUGCUAACAAGCAUAUCCUGAUUCAACGCCGCCAUGUCCGAGGUACGAUACAUUCUCUGACGAAUAACUGUACCAAUAUCUUGUAUAAUAUUGCUAUCCAUAAACGUGAUGCAUAGAAAUAAAUUCUAAUUGGUUGAAAUAAAUAUAAUUGUGAAUUUGUAAAUUAUUUUAACGAUCAUUUCCACGUUAUUUGUAAUAACUAGCCCUAUAUUAUGCAUAGUUGAAAAGGACAGUUUUAAAUUAGAGAAGUAGUUUUUCCCCAUAACAUUCUACAGUCAGCAGAUCGAUAUGGGUGCCAAUAUUAUAGUUUAAUACAAAAACCCAGACAACAUUGGUACGUUGGUACAACGUUGGCCCAAUGUAUCGACAUGCAUUGGCCCAACGUUAUUUUUAAACGUUGGCCCAAUGUACAAGUGCAAAGUGGCCCUAUGUUGGUGUAAUGAUGGUCACUUUUUUUACUUGUCUAUUUAAUAUAUUUGGGGAAAUUGGUUAACUUUAGUAUUACUUUUAGUUCCGUAACUCUUUCUUCCGAGACCGGCCAUGUAAAUUAUUCUUGUCGGGACUUCCUUUUCUUGCACGUGCCCGGCCGGGGCUCGUUGUCCCUAGGAACUAUAAGUAUGACGUCACUCACCGGCUUCGGGGCAGUACACUUAGAAUUUAAAAUGAGCAGACGCUCAUACGAUUUGGCUUGCAAAUAUGGAACCUUUAUUUAUACAAGUAGACUAGCCACCACCGUAUAUUUAUUUAUGUAAACUUAUGUUCAAC
rnacentral:lncRNA from 1 species